rnacentral:pre_miRNA from 1 species
CCCAACGUGGAAGGGCAUGACCUCCUCCCUUCUGCAGACCUAGGUCAGAAGGACCAGGACCUGCUGGGCCCCAAGGUCAUGGUCGCAAUGCUGGUCAACGCCACCGAGAGGGUCAACACCACCCAGCAGCUCUGGGCGGACAUCAAGCAGAAGACGUCCUCCAGCGGGAGGCCGUCUUCUGCUUGAUGUCCGCCCACAGCUGCUGAUUGGCGUUGACCCUGUCGGUGGCCUUGACCAGCAUCGCGGCAAUGACCUUGGGGCCCAGCAGGUCCUGGUCCUUCUGACCAAGGUCUGCACAAGGGAGGAGGUCAUGAGUCCACGUGGG